rnacentral:rRNA from 1 species
UACGUAGGGGCCUAGCGUUGUCCGGAUUUAUUGGGCGUAAAGAGCUCGUAGGCGGUCUGUUGCGUCCGCUGUGAAAACCCGGGGCUUAACCCUGGGCUGGCAGUGGAUACGGACAGACUAGAGGUAGGUAGGGGAGAAUGGAAUUCCCGGUGUAGCGGUGAAAUGCGCAGAUAUCGGGAGGAACACCGGUGGCGAAGGCGGUUCUCUGGGCCUUACCUGACGCUGAGGAGCGAAAGCGUGGGGAGCGAACAGG